UGAGUAACACGUAGGAAUCUGCCUUUGAGACCGGGAUAACAGUUGGAGACGAUUGCUAAUACCGGAUGAGAAUUAUAAAGAUACGUUUUUAUAAUUUAAAAGGAAGCUUUAAAGCUUCGCUUAAAGAUGAGCCUGCGGCGUAUUAGUUAGUUGGUGGGGUAACGGCCUACCAAGACGACGAUGCGUAGCCGACCUGAGAGGGUGAACGGCCACAUUGGGACUGAGACACGGCCCAAACUCCUACGGGAGACAGCAGUUAGGGAUAUUCGUCAAUGGGGGAAACCCUGAACGAGCAAUGCCGCGUGAAGGAAGGCGGUUCUAUGGAUUGUAAACUUCUGUUGUAAGGGAAGAACGACAGUAUUAGGAAAUGAAUACUGAGUGACGGUACCUUUCGAGAAAGCUCCGGCUAACUACGUGCCAGCAGCCGCGGUAAUACGUAGGGAGCGAGCGUUAUCCGGAAUUAUUGGGUGUAAAGCGUGUGUAGGCGGGAAUGCAAGUCUAAAGUGUA
rnacentral:rRNA from 1 species